rnacentral:rRNA from 1 species
UGGGUAACCUGCCCCUCUCUCUGGGAUAACCCCGGGAAACCGGAGCUAAUACCGGAUACUCCGGCUGGAUCGCAUGGUCCGGCCGGGAAAGGUCCGCCGGAGAGGGAUGGGCCCGCGGCCUAUCAGCUUGUUGGUGGGGUCAUGGCUCACCAAGGCGACGACGGGUAGCUGGUCUGAGAGGACGACCAGCCACACUGGAACUGAGAUACGGUCCAGACUCCUACGGGAGGCA